GCUUUCUUUGAACCAAGUCAGAAGCCCUUCACAGGACCUGCAAACAUCAACAAGGUCUUUACCAUGUCCUGUGCACAUGCUAUAAUAACCCAACAUCAUGCACCAAGUAAGCAAGCACCAGUACAUGUCAUCAGGUACAAGACUGGCCAGCAACAAAUCAUGAACCGAGGCAUUGAAAGCAGCACAUGCUAUCGACCAUGGCUAGGUCGACACACUGCAUUUGAAGCAACUC
rnacentral:lncRNA from 1 species